CUUUAUUUUUUAUUUUAUGUGGUGAUAAGGAUCGAACCCAGUGCCCCACACAUGCCAGAAUGACUGGUGGACACAGAAGAACCAGGAGCAUGGAGGCCACGCCAAUUUUGAAAGCCACCAGAAGGAUAUAUAACCUCAAGUUGGCUGUUCUAGAAUCUUGUCCAUGGUGAACAGGCACCACCUGCAGCUGUUUAGGACACAGUGGUACUUCUUGAAAACAUCAUCCCAGGGAAGCAGUGGGCAACAGUUAAAAUUGGAUAACCAGUGCUCAGAUCCAAAGAGAAGAAAAUCUUCACCUCUUCCAAGUUGAAAUCCCCCCCCCCAAAGAAGAAACAUAUGAAAUAUCUCUUCAGGAUUCCCAUGAGUCAUAUCCAGAAUUUAACAAUUUUUUUUUCAGUUGUAUCAACAGUAGUUGUGUAAGCAGAAGGAGAACAGCUGGCACACCCUGGAGAGGCCCUGACAGUGAACGAUAGCCCAAGGACAAGGCACCAGCUGAAAGCCAGCUUGGCUGCAAAUUAGAGUAUAAUGGCAGAGUGGCUUCUGCUGCGAGGCGAUUUGCAUCAGAGCCCACCAACAAUGCAUGUUCUGUAGAUCGGGUUUUUGUACAAGAAGGAAGACAGAAAUACUGCAUUUCUAAAUAAUUUAGAAGAGGAUUCGCCAAACGAAGAGGAACAGAAAUAGGAAACUUGUCUGUUUUUAGGUAACACUAUAGAGAGUACUGAUUUUGCACAAAAAGAACAUUUAUAUUUUACCUUGGGUUGAUCUGUAUAAAAUGCACUUUCAUAUACUAGCUAAUUUCCCGCUUCUGUACUCACAUAGUGUUUUGCUUAUAACUAAAUUGUAAAGUGAUAUAAGUUCAGUGCUUAGACAUGUAUUUCAUUAAGUAUUAUUUAUCAUGCUUAAGUAUGUUUUCUCAAA